rnacentral:rRNA from 1 species
UACAGAGGGUGCGAGCGUUGUUCGGAAUUAUUGGGCGUAAAGGGCGCGUAGGCGGUGCGGUAAGUCACCUGUGAAAUCUCCUGGCUCAACUGGGAGCUUGCAGGCGAAACUGCCGUGCUGGAGUGUGGGAGAGGUGCGUGGAAUUCCCGGUGUAGCGGUGAAAUGCGCAGAUAUCAGGAGGAACACCAAUUGCGAAGGCAGCUCGCUGGGACGUUACUGACGCUGAGACGCGAAAGCGUGGGGAGCAAACAGG